rnacentral:rRNA from 1 species
GGCACAAGCGGAGGAGCAUGUGGUUUAAUUCGAUGAUACGCGAGGAACCUUACCUGGGCUCGAACGUAAGAUGACUGUAGGUGAAAGCUUACAUCUCUUCGGAGCAUUUUACGUAGGUGCUGCAUGGUUGUCGUCAGCUCGUGCCGUGAGGUGUCGGGUUAAGUCCCAUAACGAGCGCAACCCCUACCUUUAGUUGCCAUCAGGUUAAGCUGGGGACUCUAAAGGAACUGCCUACGCAAGUAGUGAGGAAGGCGGGGAUGACGUCAAAUCAGCACGGCCCUUACGUCCAGGGCUACACACGUGCUACAAUGGCCGAUACAGAGGGCAGCUACCUGGUGACAGGAUGCAAAUCUCCAAAGUCGGUCUCAGUUCGGAUCGGAGUCUGCAACCCGACUCCGUGAAGUUGGAUCGCUAGUAAUCGCGCAUCAGCCAUGGCGCGGUGAAUACGUUCCCGGGCCUU